rnacentral:rRNA from 1 species
GACGAACGCUGGCGGCGUGCUUAACACAUGCAAGUCGAGCGGUAAGGCCCUUUCGGGGGUACGACGAGCGGCGAACGGGUGAGUAACACGUGGGUGACCUGCCCUUAGCUCUGGGAUAAGCCUAGGGAAACUGGGUCUAAUACCGGAUAUGACUCCAUGACGCAUGUUGGUGGGGUGGAAAGCCUUGUGCGGCUAGGGAUGGGCCCGCGGCCUAUCAGCUUGUUGGGUGGGGUGAUGGCCUACCAAGGCGACGACGGGUAGCCGGCCUGAGAGGGCGACCGGCCGACACUGGGACUGAGACACGGCCCAGACUCCUACGGGAGGCAGCAGUGGGGAAUCUUGCGCAAUGGGCGAAAGCCUGACGCAGCGACGCCGCGUGA